GACGAACGCUGGCGGCGUGCUUAACACAUGCAAGUCGAACGGUGAAGCGCCUUCCUUUUUGGUGGGUGUGGAUGAGUGGCGAACGGGUGAGUAACACGUGAGUAACCUGCCCCCUUCUUCUGGAUAACCGCAUGAAAGUGUUGCUAAUACGGGAUAUUCUGGGUCUGUCGCAUGAUGGGUCUGGGAAAGAUAUUGUUUCGGUGGGGGAUGGGCUCGCGGCCUAUCAGCUUGUUGGUGGGGUGAUGGCCUACCAAGGCGGUGACUGGUAGCCGGCCUGAGAGGGUGGACGGUCACAAUGGGACGGAGACACGGCCAAGACUCCUACGGGAGGCAGCAGUGGGGAAUAUUGCACAAUGGGCGCAAGACUGAUGCAGAGACGCCGCGGGAGGGAUGGAGGCCGUCGGGUUGUGAACCUCUUUCGCAAGUGAAGCAGGCCUGCCUCGUUUGUGGGUGGGUUGACGGUAGCUGGAUAAGAAGCGCCGGCUAACUACGUG
rnacentral:rRNA from 1 species